rnacentral:rRNA from 1 species
GGUGAACGCUGGCGGCGUGCUUAAGACAUGCAAGUCGAACGGCAGUCUUCGGACUGUAGUGGCGCACGGGUGAGUAACGCGUAACUGACCUACCCCAAAGUCGCGGAUAACGAUUCGAAAGAAUCGCUAAUACGUGAUGUGCUGUCAGAUUGUGUUCUGCCAGUAAAGAUUGCUUGCUUUGGGAUGGGGUUGCGUUCCAUCAGCUAGUUGGUGGGGUAAAGGCCCACCAAGGCGACGACGGAUAGCCGGCCUGAGAGGGUGGCCGGCCACAGGGGCACUGAGACACGGGUCCCACCCCUACGGGAGGCAGCAGUUAGGAAGCUUCCACAAUGGGCGGAAGCCUGGUGGAGCGACGCCGCGUGAGGGAUGAAGGUCUUCGGAUCGUAAACCUCUGAAUCAGGGACGAAAGACACUUCGGUGGGAUGACGGUACCUGAGUAAUAGCACCGGCUAACUCCGUGCCAGCCGCCGCAGUAACAC